rnacentral:rRNA from 1 species
ACUCCUACGGGAGGCAGCAGUGGGGAAUAUUGCACAAUGGGCGCAAGCCUGAUGCAGCCAUGCCGCGUGUGUGAAGAAGGCCUUCGGGUUGUAAAGCACUUUCAGCGGGGAGGAAGGCAAUGCGGUUAAUAACCGUGUUGAUUGACGUUACCCGCAGAAGAAGCACCGGCUAACUCCGUGCCAGCAGCCGCGGUAAUACGGAGGGUGCAAGCGUUAAUCGGAAUUACUGGGCGUAAAGCGCACGCAGGCGGUCUGUCAAGUCGGAUGUGAAAUCCCCGGGCUCAACCUGGGAACUGCAUUCGAAACUGGCAGGCUUGAGUCUUGUAGAGGGGGGUAGAAUUCCAGGUGUAGCGGUGAAAUGCGUAGAGAUCUGGAGGAAUACCGGUGGCGAAGGCGGCCCCCUGGACAAAGACUGACGCUCAGGUGCGAAAGCGUGGGGAGCAAACAGGAUUAGAAACCCGUGUAGUCCC